AUUGAACGCUGGCGGCAGGCUUAACACAUGCAAGUCGAGCGAGCGGCGGACGGGUGAGUAAUUUCUGGGAAACUGCCUGAUGGAGGGGGAUAACUACUGGAAACGGUAGCUAAUACCGCAUACCAUCAUAUUUCCACAGAUGGGAUUAGCUAGUAGGUGGUGUAAUGGCUCCCCUAGGCGACGAUCCCUAGCUGGUCUGAGAGGAUGACCAGCCAGACUGGAACUGAGACACGGGCCAGAGUCCUAAGGGAGGCAGCAGGGGGGAAUAUUGCACAAGGGGCGCAAGCCUGAUGCAGCCAUGCCGCGUGUGUGAAGAAGGCCUUCGGGUUGUAAAGCACUUUCAGCGCGGAGGCGUUACUCGCAGAAGAAGCACCGGCUAACUCCGUGCCAGCAGCCGCGGUAAUUC
rnacentral:rRNA from 1 species